rnacentral:ribozyme from 1 species
UGCCCAGUAACUCCUACCCCUACCUCCGCGUGGUACUGGCUGGAAACAACGAGCAACCUUAGGAAAGAUUGGGUAUUCAACCCCUGUGGGAACUUUGGUCAUAUGCUGACAGGGAACG